UACGUAGGUGGCAAGCGUUGUCCGGAAUUAUUGGGCGUAAAGGGCGCGUAGGCGGAUAUUUAAGUCAGAAGUGAAAUAUGCGGGCUUAACCCGGAUCAGCAUCUGAUACUGGAUAUCUUGAGUGCAGGAGAGGACAGUGGAAUUCCUAGUGUAGCGGUGAAAUGCGUAGAUAUUAGGAGGAACACCAGUGGCGAAGGCGGCUGUCUGGACUGUAACUGACGCUGAGGCGCGAAAGCGUGGGGAGCAAACAGG
rnacentral:rRNA from 1 species